GCGCCACCGCCCGACAGCGCGUUGCGCCCUCGGGCGCGUUUUGC
rnacentral:sRNA from 1 species